rnacentral:piRNA from 1 species
UGGUGUAAUUCUGAUAGGCUUGCCUUUAU